ensembl:lncRNA
GUGAAACUGCUAAAAUGCGGACUGAUUGACUGAUUCGUUGAAUUAUUGAUUUUCUCGGUUGUUGCCGUGCACGCCGUCGGCCUGUGCUGCUCUCCAAUGUUGCUGUUUUGAGGUGCAACUGUCUGAACACAAGCUGUGAAAUCCCAGACAGUUAAUAAUGCAUGCCCCAAUUUAUGUCGCGCUGCUCUGCCACAUGUGUCUCUGUCAGUAUGUCUGCGUUUUAUCUGCGUGUGUUUGUGCCCUGCAUAUAUUCCUCGUCACAAGUGUCUCUCCAAGCUUGUUUGUGAGCUUGUUUCCGUGUCAAAAGGUGUGUGUGAAUUUGUGUGUGUGCACGGCCUGAUGUUGAGGCUCUUCCGAUGCUUAAUUUAGCAGAAAGUCAGCUUGUGUGUGUGUGUGUGUGUGUGUGUGUGUGUGUGUGUGUGUGUUGACAGGCCUCAUCACUCUCUCACUCUGAAAGCCCUCUUGUUAGAUAAACCAAAGUUUGUAGCUCACAUAGGCACCAGCUUUGUAUUCUCUAACUAAAUGAUGCAUGUCACAUGUUUUGCGGAGACACAGGUACAUGCAUGCACUCCUCCCACCUGUCUGAUGCAUGUCACACACACUCACGGCAUCCUGCAGCUUUGUACUAUAUGGGCAAAUGAUGCAUGUCAAGCAAACUUGCACACAAACACAGGCACCAAAGCUUUAUAUUACCCGAUCAAAUGAUGCAUGUCGUACACACAGACGCACACACACACCAGCUUUGUAUUAUGUGAUCAAAUGAUGCGUGUAGCUCCGACGCUUGUUACAUCCAUCCAGCAGUGCCCUAUAUUGUUCUGCAGCCAUCCAUACUGCGCGACAGUUCUUUUGAUGCUUUGUAAGCACAUUUCCUCCCUGUGUAUGUCAGUUACACUGCAUUGUUCUCCAAUGAAAAAUGGAUGCAACGACACCCUUUAUGUUUGGGAGAUCAUCACUUACUAUGAAAUAUUGAAGCAGGAACCAUCGAAAGAAGAUCAUUAUUCACUUCGCAUCAUUCACUUCAGUUGUUUCUAAUAAAAGCAAGAGUUUCUGAAUUCUUGUCUCAGUUGCAGC